GGCCAUAUCAUGUUGAAAAACCGGGUCCCGUAUGAUCAGCGAAGUUAAGCAACGUCGAGCCUGGUCAGGACCGAGAUGAUUGACCGCUUGGGAAUACCAGG